UGGGGAAUCUUGCGCAAUGGGCGAAAGCCUGACGCAGCGACGCCGCGUGGGGGAUGAAGGCCUUCGGGUUGUAAACCCCUUUCGGCAGGGACGAAGCGAAAGUGACGGUACCUGCAGAAGAAGCUCCGGCUAACUACGUGCCAGCAGCCGCGGUAAGACGUAGGGAGCGAGCGUUGUCCGGAUUCAUUGGGCGUAAAGCGCGCGUAGGCGGCCUCGCAAGUCGGUUGUGAAAUCCCGGGGCUCAACCCCGGGACUGCGUCCGAUACUGCGAGGCUGGAGGUAGGUAGGGGAGAUCGGAAUUCCUGGUGUAGCGGUGAAAUGCGCAGAUAUCAGGAGGAACACCGGUGGCGAAGGCGGAUCUCUGGGCCUUACCUGACGCUGAGGCGCGAAAGCUAGGGGAGCGAACAGG
rnacentral:rRNA from 1 species